AUUGAACGCUAGCGGGAUGCCUUACACAUGCAAGUCGAACGGAGUGGCGAACGGGUGCGUAAUGUAUCGGAACGUGCCCAUUAGCGGUGGAUGACUAUGCCUAAGCGUAACUAUUACCGCAUCCUCUUGCAACGGCCUGUACGGGAUUAGCUUGUUGGUGGGGUAACGGCUCACCAAGGCGACGAUCCGUAGCCGGUUUGAGAGGACGACCAGCAACACUGGGACUGAGACACGGCCCAGACUCCUACGGGAGGCAGCAGUGGGGAAUUUUGGACAAUGGGGGAAACCCUGAUCCAGCCAUCCCGCGUGUGCGAUGAAGGCCUUCGGGUUGUAAAGCACUUUUGGCAGGAAAGCGGUACCUGCAGAAGAAGCACCGGCUAACUACGUGCCAGCAGCCGCGGUAAUAC
rnacentral:rRNA from 1 species